rnacentral:lncRNA from 1 species
UGAUAUUUAGUGAGUCUAAUAAUUUCUACGAGAUUUACCUUGUCAUAAUUAUUCCAAUUCAAAUUUAAUAUGUGCUGAUGACAUAUAAUUACUUAUUUUGAAUAUUUCUUUUUGAUGUUUUUACAACAUUUUUGUAAUUUUGUUUCGAUUGUAUUAUCUUAUCAAUUUUUUUUUUUUUUUCAUUGUGUAUUCUUUUUUUUAAUCACAUAGGCACAGUUUUAGAUUUGACAUAUCUAAAUAACUUAUAUUUAGCAUUUUUGUUUGAUUUAUCUUUACAUUGUUUUUUUUUGGUUAAA